rnacentral:rRNA from 1 species
CCUACGGGAGGCAGCAGUGGGGAAUAUUGCACAAUGGGCGCAAGCCUGAUGCAGCGACGCCGCGUGAGGGAUGACGGCCUUCGGGUUGUAAACCUCUUUCAGUAGGGAAGAAGCGAAAGUGACGGUACCUGCAGAAGAAGCGCCGGCUAACUACGUGCCAGCAGCCGCGGUAAUACGUAGGGCGCAAGCGUUAUCCGGAAUUAUUGGGCGUAAAGAGCUCGUAGGCGGUUUGUCGCGUCUGCCGUGAAAGUCCGGGGCUCAACUCCGGAUCUGCGGUGGGUACGGGCAGACUAGAGUGAUGUAGGGGAGACUGGAAUUCCUGGUGUAGCGGUGAAAUGCGCAGAUAUCAGGAGGAACACCGAUGGCGAAGGCAGGUCUCUGGGCAUUAACUGACGCUGAGGAGCGAAAGCAUGGGGAGCGAGCAGGAUUAGAUACCCUGGUAGUCCAUGCCGUAAACGUUGGGCACUAGGUGUGGGGGACAUUCCACGUUUUCCGCGCCGUAGCUAACGCAUUAAGUGCCCCGCCUGGGGAGUACGGCCGCAAGGCUAAAACUCAAAGGAAUUGACGGA